rnacentral:rRNA from 1 species
GGGAGCGAACAGGAUUAGAUACCCUGGUAGUCCACGCCGUAAACGAUGACUGCUAAGUGUUAGGGGGUUUUCCCCCCUUAUUGCUGCACCUAACGCAUUAAUCACUCCGCCUGGGGAGUACGGUCGCAAGACUGAAACUCAAAGGAAUUGACGGGGGCCCGCACAAGCGGUGGAGCAUGUGGUUUAAUUCAAACCAACGCGAAAAACCUUACCACGUCUUGACAUCCUCUGACAAUCCUAAAGAUAUGACGUCCCCUUCGGGGGCAUAGUGACAGGUGGUGCAUGGUUGUCGUCAGCUCGUGUCGUGAGAUGUUGGGUUAAGUCCCGCAACGAGCGCAACCCUUGAUCUUAGUUGCCAGCAUUCAGUUGGGCACUCUAAGGUGACUGCCGGUGACAAACC